AGCAGCCGCGGUAAUUCCAGCUCCAAUAGCGCAUAUUAAAGUUGUUGCAGUUAAAAAGCUCGUAGUUGAAUUUCGGGGUUAGUAGGUUGGUCAUGCCUCUGGUAUGUACUGGUCUCACUGAUUCCUCCUUCCUGAUGAACCUUAAUGCCAUUAAUUUGGUGUUUUGGGGAAUUUGGACUGUUACUUUGAAAAAAUUAGAGUGUUUAAAGCAAGCUAACGCUUGAAUACAUUAGCAUGGAAUAAUGAAAUAGGACGUUCGAUCCUAUUUUGUUGGUUUCUAGGAUUGACGUAAUGAUUAAUAGGGAUAGUUGGGGGCAUUAGUAUUCAAUUGUCAGAGGUGAAAUUCUUGGAUUUAUUGAAGACUAACUACUGCGAAAGCAUUUGCCAAGGAUGUUUUCAUUAAUCAAGAACGAAAGUUAGGGGAUCGAAGACGAUCAGAUACCGUCGUAGUCUUAACCAUAAACUAUGCCGACUAGGGAUCGGAUGAUGUUAAUUUUUUAAUGACUCAUUCGGCGCCUUACG
rnacentral:rRNA from 1 species